rnacentral:rRNA from 2 species
GAUAGCCAUGCUAGUCGCACGAGUUCAGACUCGUGGCGAAUAGCUCAGUAACACGUGGCCAAACUACCCUUCGGAACACAAUACCCUCGGGAAACUGAGGCUAAUAGUGUAUACCAUACCACCACUGGAAUGAGUGGUAUGCCAAACGCUCCGGCGCCGAAGGAUGUGGCUGCGGCCGAUUAGGUAGACGGUGGGGUAACGGCCCACCGUGCCAAUAAUCGGUAUGGGUCAUGAGAGUGAGAACCCAGAGACGGAAUCUGAGACAAGAUUCCGGGCCCUACGGGGCGCAGCAGGCGCGAAACCUUUACACUGCACGACAGUGCGAUAGGGGGAUCCCAAGUGCACAGGCAUAGCGCCUGUGCUUUUCGGUACCCUAAGGCGGUACCAGAAUAAGGGCUGGGCAAGACCGGUGCCAGCCGCCGCGGUAAUACCGGCAGCCCAAGUGAUGGCCGAUCUUAUUGGGCCUAAAGCGUCCGUAGCUGGCCGCGCAAGUCCAUCGGGAAAUCCACCUGCUCAACAGGUGGGCGCCCGGUAGAAACUGCGUGGCUUGGGACCGGAAGGCGCGACGGGUACGUCCGGGGUAGGAGUGAAAUCCCGUAAUCCUGGACGGACCGCC